CAGAAAGACCCUAUGAAGCUUUACUGUAACUUGAAAUUGAAAUUGGACUUUAGUUGCGCAGUAUAGGUGGGAGGCGUUGAGAAUAUCCUUGCGGGGGUAUUGGAGCCAUCAAUGAGAUACCACUCCUCUAAUGUUAGAUUUCUAACUUUGAACCAUUAUCUGGUGAAAGAACAGUUUCAGGCGGGCAGUUUGACUGGGGCGGUCGCCUCCCAAAUGGUAACGGAGGCGUACAAAGGUUUCCUCUGAACGGGUAGAAAUCGUAUCUAGAGUGUAAAGGCAUAAGGAAGCUUGACUGUGAGACCUACAAGUCGAGCAGGGACGAAAGUCGGUCUUAGUGAUCUGACGGUACUGAGUGGAAAGGCCGUCACUCAACGGAUAAAAGUUACUCUAGGGAUAACAGGCUGA
rnacentral:rRNA from 1 species